ACUAAAUAGCUGUGUUUAAAACACCUCAAUGUUGUAAUUUUACAAGACAAAAAUUGCAGAUUCACCCCAAAGUCAAGUGACAUGGUAUAAAUGGGGGGUCCCUGGAGAACUGCGGACAUGGUGGAUGGUCAAUGCAUGGGACUCAAAAUGUCUUAGUAAAAAUGUAUGUGCUUGGUUUUGGCCUGACUGUUUUCAACAUGUUUUUGAAAACAUUUGAAGUGAGAGAUGGAGAAUGUUGUUUCAUAUUUAAUCAGCGCUGUCUGGUUGGACAGUUUGACUGCAGUUAACAAGCAGUGAAUGACACGUUAGCUUUCCAAAAAAGAAGCCCAGUCUUCAGCAGAGAAAGCCUUAAUCAUUUUAAAACAGUCCCUUCAUACACUUUGACAGAAGCUCAAAUAUCUUCAAGGUCCAGACACAAACUACCUGAUGGAGUCAGAAAUGACAUCAUCAUACUCGUAGUUGACGGAUCCACCAACCAGCAAUCGAGUUACAAACGAGCACACGCACACAAAGAAUGCAUUCCGAUCCUUUUAUUUGUCGUGAAUGUGGUACAACAGCAUCAAUGUGGAAGAUAAGGUGGCUGCUUCAGAGAGAGAGAGGACACUGGGAAGAUAAUGUCGGAGUUCUGCUGGGACCAAAGUUGCUCAUUGUUUGAGUUGGAGGACUUUUGCAUCUGAUGACGUAUGAUAUGUCACAGCUUAUAACAUCAAAAAAAGGUGGCAUUUUUAUUUUUCACCUCGAUAACGAAACAUGGAGAACUCUUUCCUUUUACACCAGAAUGGCGAUUCACAGGUUGUUAGUCACUCAGAUGUACUCCACUUACGUCUUUCUUUAGAUUUGCUGCAUUUAAAUGGCAGCUACUGAAAUUUACUAAGUGUCCGAAUUAAAGAAGGUUGUAAUUUUCCUCGAUCUUGGCUUCAUUGAAUAUUAAACUUCCAGGGAAGCUCAAAGCAACCUGAUGGAUGCACAUCACAUAUAGACAUAAUUGCCAAUGUCUUUUUAGGGAGUCAAAUAUAAAACUAACAGCAAUUUAAAGGUGGAAUUUUCACCACAUUUAGAUUUUUCACAGUUACAUUUCACCAUCAAAUCCAGUCACAACUUUGGCCUCACUCUGCGACAGAAUCCCACACAUGGUUUGUAAUCUGUAUGUUGAAUCACUCAAAGUGAAACUCUGACCCUGGUCUGUACACAAUGGCAAUCAGCUGCAAAAAAGUUUAAAAUGUUUCUCUGACGGCGCAACUCAAAUAUAGUGAGUUAAGAGGUUCACUGCUUAAUCACAACAAAUAUGUUCUGUCCAGAGCAUAUUUUCAUUAACAGGAUAAUUAAGCUCCCCCUAGAAAGAAAUACAAAAAGAAGAAGGGAAAACACACCAAAAGAAAAGGCACCUCUGAAUCUUCUCACCUGUCUCUAACCAACAUCAGAUCCAAAUCAGAGCAAAAACACCUGUUACAGUCCAGAAAGAAAAAGGAGUGGAACACAAACACAUGUCUACAGCUGCUCUCCUCUCUCCUCCGCACAGCAAAGUGCCUCCUGGUAAUGUUCAACGCUCUCACUCAACAUGGCACUCACUUCAGGUGUACAAACCAGAAACUGUACAUGACAAGAAAUGAAACUAUAUAUAUAAAAAAUACCCUCAAGCAGUGAGAAAACAGUGAUCAGCUUAAGAUGAACAAAACAAAUCAUAUUAUUAUUUUUAUCAUACAGAAAGUGCUAUCAGCCACCAGCAAAGAGAACCAGUGAUCAAAAAUGAUUGAAGCUUACUGUACUGAUAGCAGCCAAAUGCUCAAUUAAAAAGGCCCUUCAUUUCUUUGACUUUAAAUAUUCAUACAACUGACUAGAACUCCUCUAGUCUCAGUCUAGUCUUACAGACAAGUGCCAAUCUGUGAUUUUUGGAAAGGUAUUAUCAUAAACAAAUCAGCCUUUAUAUGUGUGUUCUCAAUUUCACACAACUGCUUCAGCCUUUCCCAGAGGUGGGACCAAGUCAUUGUUUUACAAGUCACAAGUUACAAAUCUUAUGUAUCAAGUCAUGACAGGUAAGUCCCAAGUCAAGAUAGGCAAGUCCCAAGUCAACACAGGUAAGUCCCAAGUCAAGAUAGGCAAGUCCCAAAUAAAGUCAGCAAGUCCCAAGUCAAGACAGGUAAAUCCCAAGUCAAGAUUGGCAAGUCCCAAGUCAAGACAGGUGAGUCCCAAGUCAAGAUUGGCAAGUCCCAAGUCAAGAUAGGUAAGUCCCAAAUAAAGUCAGCAAAUCCCAAGUCAAGACAGGUAAGUCCCAAGUCAAGAUUGGCAAGUCCCAAGUCAAGAUAGGCAAGUCCCAAGUCAACACAGGUAAGUCCCAAGUCAACACAGGUAAGUCCCAAGUCAAGAUGGGCAAGUCCCAAGUCAACACAGGUAAGUCCCAAGUCAAGACAGAUAAGUCCCAAGUCAAGAUAGGCAAGUCCUAAA